rnacentral:rRNA from 1 species
AUUGAACGCUGGCGGCAUGCUUUACACAUGCAAGUCGAACGGUAACAGGCCGCAAGGUGCUGACGAGUGGCGAACGGGUGAGUAAUGCAUCGGAACGUGCCCAGUCGUGGGGGAUAACUACUCGAAAGAGUAGCUAAUACCGCAUACGAUCUAUGGAUGAAAGCGGGGGACCGUAAGGCCUCGCGCGAUUGGAGCGGCCGAUGUCAGAUUAGGUAGUUGGUGGGUAAAGGCUCACCAAGCCAACGAUCUGUAGCUGGUCUGAGAGGACGACCAGCCACACUGGGACUGAGACACGGCCCAGACUCCUACGGGAGGCAGCAGUGGGGAAUUUUGGACAAUGGGCGCAAGCCUGAUCCAGCAAUGCCGCGUGCAGGAAGAAGGCCUUCGGGUUGUAAACUGCUUUUGUACGGAACGAAACGGCUCUGGUUAAUACCCGGGGCUAAUGACGGUACCGGAAGAAUAAGCACCGGCUAACUACGUG